CAAUAGCGUAUAUUAAAGUUGUUGCAGUUAAAAAGCUCGUAGUUGAAUUUCGGGUGCUCGUAGUCGGUCCUUCAUUGGGCUGGCGCGUGUGCUCUCCCCGCCUUUGGCGGCCUUUACUGUGAAAAAAUUAGAGUGUUCAAAGCAGGCAAUCGCUUGAACACAUUAGCAUGGAAUAAUAAGAUAGGAUCUUGUCUAUUUUGUUGGUUGCGGACAAAGAUAAUGAUUAAUAGGGAUAGUUGGGGGUGUCCGUAUUGAGCUGUCAGAGGUGAAAUUCUUGGAUUUGCUCAAGACGAACUGCUGCGAAANCGNNNACCAAGGAUGUUUUCAUNAA
rnacentral:rRNA from 1 species